UACGGAGGGGACUAGCGUUGUUCGGAAUUACUGGGCGUAAAGCGCACGUAGGCGGAUUGUUUGGUCAGGGGUGAAAUCCCGAGGCUCAACCUCGGAACUGCCUUUGAUACUGGCAAUCUCGAGUCCGGAAGAGGUGAGUGGAAUUCCUAGUGUAGAGGUGAAAUUCGUAGAUAUUAGGAAGAACACCAGUGGCGAAGGCGGCUCACUGGUCCGGUACUGACGCUGAGGUGCGAAAGCGUGGGGAGCAAACAGG
rnacentral:rRNA from 1 species